rnacentral:rRNA from 1 species
AGAGUUUGAUCAUGGCUCAGAAUCAACGCUGGCGGCGUGCCUAACACAUGCAAGUCGAACGCGGUUACCCCGCAAGGGGUAACUGAGUGGCGAACGGGUGAGUAACGCGUGGGUGACCUACCUCUGAGUGGGGGAUAACGUCCCGAAAGGGACGCUAAUACCGCAUAACAUCCUGUCCUUGAACGGAUGGAGAUCAAAGCCGGGGAUCGCAAGACCUGGCGCUUGGUGAGGGGCCCGCGUCCGAUUAGCUAGUUGGUGAGGUAACGGCCCACCAAGGCUUCGAUCGGUAGCCGGCCUGAGAGGGCGGACGGCCACACUGGGACUGAGACACGGCCCAGACUCCUACGGGAGGCAGCAGUGGGGAAUUGUUNNNNNUGGGGCAAGCCUGACGACGCAACGCCGCGUGGAGGACGAAGGUCUUCGGAUUGUAAACUCCUGUUGCUCGGGAAGAAAAGCUCCGACCUAACACGUCGGAGUCUGACGGUACCGGGUGAGGAAGCCCCGGCUAACUCUGUGCCAGCAGCCGCGGUAAUACAGAGGGGGCAAGCGUUGUUCGGAAUUACUGGGCGUAAAGGGCGCGUAGGCGGCCUGUUAAGUCGAACGUGAAAUCCCCAGGCUCAACCUGGGAACUGCGUCCGAUACUGGCAGGCUUGAAUCCGGGAGAGGGAUGCGGAAUUCCAGGUGUAGCGGUGAAAUGCGUAGAUAUCUGGAGGAACACCGGUGGCGAAGGCGGCAUCCUGGACCGGUAUUGACGCUGAGGCGCGAAAGCCAGGGGAGCAAACGGGAUUAGAUACCCUAGUAGUCC